UCGACGCAUUCUUCGGAAUGAGUGGCGCACGGCUGAGGAACACGUGACUAACCUACCCCGGUGUGGGGGAUAACGGGUCGAAAGACUCGCUAAUCCCGCAUACGAUCCGCCUCGGCGGAGGAAAGCCGUAAGGCGCACUGGGCGGGGGUCGCGUCCCAUUAGAUAGUUGGUGUGGUAAUGGCGCACCAAGUCGAUGAUGGGUCUCUGGUCUGAGAGGACGACCAGACAGAUUGGGACUGAGACACGGCCCAAACUCCUACGGGGGGCAGCAGCAAGGAAUUUUCGGCAAUGGGCGCAAGCCUGACCGAGCAACGCCGCGUGGAGGAUGACGGCUCUUGGGUUGUAAACUCCUUUUGGGGGGGACGAUAAUGACGGUACCCUCCGAAUCAGGCCCGGCUAACUACGUGCCAGCAGCCGCGGUAAUACGUAGGGGCCAAGCGUUGUCCGGAAUUACUGGGCGUAAAGCGUGGGUAGGUGGUCGGUGAUGUGCCGCGUGAAAGCGCCGGAGUAAUGCCGGCGAGGUCGCGGUAGACACACGGACUCGAGGCUCGCAGAGGAACGUGGAAUUCCCGGUGUAGUGGUGAAAUGCGUAGAUAUCGGGAGGAACACCAGUGGCGCAAGCGGCGUUCUGGGCGAGACCUGACACUGAGCCACGACGGCGUGGGGAGCAAACAGGAUUAGAUACCCUGGUAGUCCACGCAGUAAACGAUGCAUACCAGGUGUGGGAUGGCGUUCGCGUCGUUCCGUGCCGCAGCUUACGCGAUGAGUAUGCCGCCUGGGGACUACGAGCGCAAGC
rnacentral:rRNA from 1 species